ACCUGGUUAUAUCCUGAGACAUUACCUGGUUAUAACCUGGUUAUAACCUGGUUUUAACCUGAAACCUUCCCUGGUUAUAACCAGGUAAUGUCUCAGGUUAUAACCUGGU